CUACGGGAGGCAGCAGUGGGGAAUUUUGCGCAAUGGGCGAAAGCCUGACGCAGCGACGCCGCGUGGAGGAUGAAGGUCUUCGGAUUGUAAACUCCUUUUGUAGGGGAAAAUAAUGAUGGUACCCUAUGAAUAAGCCACGGCUAACUCUGUGCCAGCAGCCGCGGUAAGACAGAGGUGGCAAGCGUUGUUCGGAAUUACUGGGCUUAAAGGGCGCGUAGGUGUCCCGACAAGUCAGAUGUGGAAGCUUUCCGCUUAACGGAAAAAUUGCAUCUGAAACUGUCGGGAUUGAGUCAGACAGGGGAUGGCGGAAUUCCAGGUGUAGCGGUGAAAUGCGUAGAUAUCUGGAGGAAGGCCGGUGGCGAAGGCGGCCAUCUGGGUCUGAACUGACACUGAGGCGCGAAAGCGUGGGGAGCAAACAGGAUUAGAUACCCCGGU
rnacentral:rRNA from 1 species